rnacentral:lncRNA from 1 species
AGAUUCAGCCAGAGGAUCAGAAGAGAAAUAAACAGCACGGUGUAUUUCAGCAUUUUUGUGGUGUUCUCGGAGCGCAAAUUUUCGGUCUGUCUUUGGUAUUCAAUCACAGCUCACCCUAUUUGUCUGAUAAGCUGUUCGCUUUCAUCCUACUCGGGUUAGCUGAUGACUCAAUAGGGGCAGCUGUAACACCCCAAAAUUUGUCCUCCUUAUUCACGCAUUCAUUUUUAGGUCAUUUAACAUUAGAUACAUUGCAUUUCAUCAUGUCAAUCAGAAUCAGAUCCAAGAAGCUUUAUUUAAAAAUAAAAAAUAAAAAUAAAUAAAUAAAUAAAUAAAAGAAAAAAUCUCAGACUUGGACCUCUCUCAAAAGCCCACUAAGCUACCAAUAUUAGCCUAUAAAUACUAGAGUUUCAUUGAA